rnacentral:rRNA from 1 species
GGACUACCCGGGUAUCUAAUCCCGUUUGCUCCCCUAGCUUUCGCGCAUCAGCGUCAGUAUUGGGCCAGACGAGCGCUUUCGCCACCGGUGUUCCUCCUGAUAUCUACGCAUUUCACCGCUACACCAGGAAUUCCCUCGUCCUCUCCCAUACUCAAGCCGAGCAGUUUGGGAUGCAGUGCUCCGGGUGAGCCGGAGUAUUUCACAUUCCACUUACUCGACCGCCUACACGCCCUUUACGCCCAGUGAUUCCGAACAACGCUUGCUCCCCCCGUGUUACCGCGGCUGCUGGCAC